CGAGCGAACAGACGAGGAGCUUGCUCCUCUGACGUUAGCGGCGGACGGGUGAGUAACACGUGGAUAACCUACCUAUAAGACUGGGAUAACUUCGGGAAACCGGAGCUAAUACCGGAUAAUAUAUUGAACCGCAUGGUUCAAUAGUGAAAGACGGUUUUGCUGUCACUUAUAGAUGGAUCCGCGCCGCAUUAGCUAGUUGGUAAGGUAACGGCUUACCAAGGCAACGAUGCGUAGCCGACCUGAGAGGGUGAUCGGCCACACUGGAACUGAGACACGGUCCAGACUCCUACGGGAGGCAGCAGUAGGGAAUCUUCCGCAAUGGGCGAGAGCCUGACGGAGCAACGCCGCGUGAGUGAUGAAGGUCUUCGGAUCGUAAAACUCUGUUAUUAGGGAAGAACAAAUGUGUAAGUAACUAUGCACGUCUUGACGGUACCUAAUCAGAAAGCCACGGCUAACUACGUGCCAGCAGCCGCGGUAAUACGUAGGUGGCAAGCGUUAUCCGGAAUUAUUGGGCGUAAAGCGCGCGUAGGCGGUUUUUUAAGUCUGAUGUGAAAGCCCACGGCUCAACCGUGGAGGGUCAUUGGAAACUGGAAAACUUGAGUGCAGAAGAGGAAAGUGGAAUUCCAUGUGUAGCGGUGAAAUGCGCAGAGAUAUGGAGGAACACCAGUGGCGAAGGCGACUUUCUGGUCUGUAACUGACGCUGAUGUGCGAAAGCGUGGGGAU
rnacentral:rRNA from 1 species